CAGGAAGGCUGGCGGCCCCAACUUCGCCAUGUAUACAGGGGAAGUUGGUGGUGGUGACAUACUGAAUAUAGUGUGAUUCACUAAACUGAAUCACGGAUUCGUUUGCUCUAAAUUACCAGUACACGCCUAAAUUUACAAGUUGAAAGAGCGGC